GGUAUCCUACGGGGCGCAGCAGUGAGGAAUAUUGGUCAAUGGGCUUACGCCUGAACCAGCCAAGUCGCGUGAGGGAAGACUGCCCUAUGGAUUGUAAACCUCUUUUGUCGGGGAGCAAAAGACGCCACGCGUGGCGUUCCGAGAGUACCCGAAGAAAAAGCAUCGGCUAACUCCGUGCCAGCAGCCGCGGUAAUACGGAGGAUGCGAGCGUUAUCCGGAUUUAUUGGGUUUAAAGGGUGCGCAGGCGGAAGAUCAAGUCAGCGGUAAAAUUGAGAGGCUCAACCUCUUCGAGCCGUUGAAACUGG
rnacentral:rRNA from 1 species